CCUACGGGUGGCAGCAGUGGGGAAUAUUGGGCAAUGGAGGAAACUCUGACCCAGCAACGCCGCGUGAAUGAUGAAGGUCUUCGGAUUGUAAAGUUCUUUUCUAAGGGAAGAAGAAAGUGACGGUACCUUAGGAAUAAGCCUCGGCUAACUACGUGCCAGCAGCCGCGGUAAUACGUAGGAGGCGAGCGUUAUCCGGAAUGACUGGGCGUAAAGGGUGCGUAGGUGGGAUAGCAAGUCAGAUGUGAAAUCCUAUGGCUUAACCAUAGAACUGCAUUUGAAACUGUUAUUCUAGAGUAUGGGAGAGGUAGGUGGAAUUCUUGGUGUAGGGGUAAAAUCCGUAGAGAUCAAGAGGAAUACUCAUUGCGAAGGCGACCUGCUAGAACAUAACUGACGCUGAUGCGCGAAAGCGUGGGGAGCAAACAGGAUUAGAUACCCCGGUAGUC
rnacentral:rRNA from 1 species